rnacentral:rRNA from 2 species
CCUAACACAUGCAAGUCGAACGGUAACAGGAAGCAGCUUGCUGCUUUGCUGACGAGUGGCGGACGGGUGAGUAAUGUCUGGGAAACUGCCUGAUGGAGGGGGAUAACUACUGGAAACGGUGGCUAAUACCGCAUAACGUCGCAAGACCAAAGAGGGGGACCUUCGGGCCUCUUGCCAUCAGAUGUGCCCAGAUGGGAUUAGCUUGUUGGUGAGGUAACGGCUCACCAAGGCGACGAUCCCUAGCUGGUCUGAGAGGAUGACCAGCCACACUGGAACUGAGACACGGUCCAGACUCCUACGGGAGGCAGCAGUGGGGAAUAUUGCACAAUGGGCGCAAGCCUGAUGCAGCCAUGCCGCGUGUAUGAAGAAGGCCUUCGGGUUGUAAAGUACUUUCAGCGGGGAGGAAGGUGUUGUGGUUAAUAACCGCAGCAAUUGACGUUACCCGCAGAAGAAGCACCGGCUAACUCCGUGCCAGCAGCCGCGGUAAUACGGAGGGUGCAAGCGUUAAUCGGAAUUACUGGGCGUAAAGCGCACGCAGGCGGUCUGUCAAGUCGGAUGUGAAAUCCCCGGGCUCAACCUGGGAACUGCAUUCGAAACUGGCAGGCUUGAGUCUUGUAGAGGGGGGUAGAAUUCCAGGUGUAGCGGUGAAAUGCGUAGAGAUCUGGAGGAAUACCGGUGGCGAAGGCGGCCCCCUGGACAAAGACUGACGCUCAGGUGCGAAAGCGUGGGGAGCAAACAGGAUUAGAUACCCUGGUAGUCCACGCCGUAAACGAUGUCUACUUGGAGGUUGUGCCCUUGAGGCGUGGCUUCCGGAGCUAACGCGUUAAGUAGACCGCCUGGGGAGUACGGCCGCAAGGUUAAAACUCAAAUGAAUUGACGGGGGCCCGCACAAGCGGUGGAGCAUGUGGUUUAAUUCGAUGCAACGCGAAGAACCUUACCUGGUCUUGACAUCCACAGAAGAAUCCAGAGAUGGAUUUGUGCCUUCGGGAACUGUGAGACAGGUGCUGCAUGGCUGUCGUCAGCUCGUGUUGUGAAAUGUUGGGUUAAGUCCCGCAACGAGCGCAACCCUUAUCCUUUGUUGCCAGCGGUUAGGCCGGGAACUCAAAGGAGACUGCCAGUGAUAAACUGGAGGAAGGUGGGGAUGACGUCAAGUCAUCAUGGCCCUUACGACCAGGGCUACACACGUGCUACAAUGGCGCAUACAAAGAGAAGCGACCUCGCGAGAGCAAGCGGACCUCAUAAAGUGCGUCGUAGUCCGGAUUGGAGUCUGCAACUCGACUCCAUGAAGUCGGAAUCGCUAGUAAUCGUGGAUCAGAAUGCCACGGUGAAUACGUUCCCGGGCCUUGUACACACCGCCCGUCACACCAUGGGAGUGGGUUGCAAAAGAAGUAGGUAGCUUAACCUUCGGGAGGGCGCUUACCACUUUGUGAUUCAUGACUGGGGUGAAGUCGUAACAAGGUAACCGUAGGGGAACCUGCGGUUGGAUCACCUCCUUACCUUAAAGAA